AACACUCACCUGCACAGACACUGUAGACUAAUACUCCCCAAACAAGAGUCUACACAUACAACUCAUUACGUCUAUGAUGCUCAGGAGAAAGUCAAAAAUGUGACCCUGGGAAAGCUCCCACUCCAAUAUCCCAUGGCUCAGCACAGUAGAGUCUUUCUCACUCUUUUUGGUACUUGAUGUCCCAACUCUGCUGUUGGACUGUCUUCCACGAGGCUCCGGAGUGCCUGAUUUGAGCAAAUAAUGGCAAAUAUCCAGAAAGGAAUAUGAAACAGUCAUCUGUUCAUGCCCAAGCCCGAGCUUGGCUGGAAACUGAAAGACAGUAAAGCAUUGGAGACUAAUGGAAAUAGGAGGGUACUUUCUUGUCUCUAAUGUUCUUUGGUCUUU
ensembl:antisense Gm13618 predicted gene 13618